UACGAAGGGGGCUAGCGUUGCUCGGAAUCACUGGGCGUAAAGGGUGCGUAGGCGGGUUUUUAAGUCAGGGGUGAAAUCCUGGAGCUCAACUCCAGAACUGCCUUUGAUACUGAAGAUCUUGAGUCCGGGAGAGGUGAGUGGAACUGCGAGUGUAGAGGUGAAAUUCGUAGAUAUUCGCAAGAACACCAGUGGCGAAGGCGGUGCUCUGGGCCGGAACUGACGCUGAGGAGCGAAAGCGUGGGGAGCAAACAGG
rnacentral:rRNA from 1 species